rnacentral:rRNA from 1 species
AACGAACGCUGGCGGCAUGCCUAACACAUGCAAGUCGAACGAAGCCUUCGGGCUUAGUGGCGCACGGGUGCGUAACGCGUGGGAACCUGCCUUUAGGUUCGGAAUAACUCUCCGAAAGGGGUGCUAAUACCGAAUAAUGUCUUCGGACCAAAGAUUUAUCGCCUUUAGAUGGGCCCGCGUUGGAUUAGCUAGUUGGUGGGGUAAAGGCCUACCAAGGCGACGAUCCAUAGCUGGUCUGAGAGGGUGAUCAGCCACACUGGGACUGAGACACGGCCCAGACUCCUACGGGAGGCAGCAGUGGGAAUAUUGGACAAUGGGCGAAAGCCUGAUCCAGCAAUGCCGCGUGAGUGAUGAAGGCCUUAGGGUUGUAAAGCUCUUUUACCAGGGAUGAUAAUGACAGUACCUGGAGAAUAAGCUCCGGCUAACUCCGUGCCAGCAGCCGCGGUAAUACGGAGGGAGCUAGCGUUGUUCGGAAUUACUGGGCGUAAAGCGCACGUAGGCGGCUUUUUAAAGUCAGGGGUGAAAU